GGGUUGUGAGGUUAAGCGACUAAGCGUACACGGUGGAUGCCCUGGCAGUCAGAGGCGAUGAAGGACGUGCUAAUCUGCGAUAAGCGUCGGUAAGGUGAUAUGAACCGUUAUAACCGGCGAUUUCCGAAUGGGGAAACCCAGUGUGAUUCGUCACACUAUCAUUAACUGAAUCCAUAGGUUAAUGAGGCGAACCGGGGGAACUGAAACAUCUAAGUACCCCGAGGAAAAGAAAUCAACCGAGAUUCCCCCAGUAGCGGCGAGCGAACGGGGAGGAGCCCAGAGCCUGAAUCAGUGUGUGUGUUAGUGGAAGCGUCUGGAAAGGCGCGCGAUACAGGGUGACAGCCCCGUACACAAAAAUGCACAUGCUGUGAGCUCGAUGAGUAGGGCGGGACACGUGGUAUCCUGUCUGAAUAUGGGGGGACCAUCCUCCAAGGCUAAAUACUCCUGACUGACCGAUAGUGAACCAGUACCGUGAGGGAAAGGCGAAAAGAACCCCGGCGAGGGGAGUGAAAAAGAACCUGAAACCGUGUACGUACAAGCAGUGGGAGCCUCUUAAUGGGGUGACUGCGUACCUUUGUAUAAUGGGUCAGCGACUUAUAUUCUGUAGCAAGGUUAACCGAAUAGGGGAGCCGAAGGGAAACCGAGUCUUAACUGGGCGUUAAGUUGCAGGGUAUAGACCCGAAACCCGGUGAUCUAGCCAUGGGCAGGUUGAAGGUUGGGUAACACUAACUGGAGGACCGAACCGACUAAUGUUGAAAAAUUAGCGGAUGACUUGUGGCUGGGGGUGAAAGGCCAAUCAAACCGGGAGAUAGCUGGUUCUCCCCGAAAGCUAUUUAGGUAGCGCCUCGUGAAUUCAUCUCCGGGGGUAGAGCACUGUUUCGGCAAGGGGGUCAUCCCGACUUACCAACCCGAUGCAAACUGCGAAUACCGGAGAAUGUUAUCACGGGAGACACACGGCGGGUGCUAACGUCCGUCGUGAAGAGGGAAACAACCCAGACCGCCAGCUAAGGUCCCAAAGUCAUGGUUAAGUGGGAAACGAUGUGGGAAGGCCCAGACAGCCAGGAUGUUGGCUUAGAAGCAGCCAUCAUUUAAAGAAAGCGUAAUAGCUCACUGGUCGAGUCGGCCUGCGCGGAAGAUGUAACGGGGCUAAACCAUGCACCGAAGCUGCGGCAGCGACACUGUGUGUUGUUGGGUAGGGGAGCGUUCUGUAAGCCUGUGAAGGUGUACUGUGAGGUAUGCUGGAGGUAUCAGAAGUGCGAAUGCUGACAUAAGUAACGAUAAAGCGGGUGAAAAGCCCGCUCGCCGGAAGACCAAGGGUUCCUGUCCAACGUUAAUCGGGGCAGGGUGAGUCGACCCCUAAGGCGAGGCCGAAAGGCGUAGUCGAUGGGAAACAGGUUAAUAUUCCUGUACUUGGUGUUACUGCGAAGGGGGGACGGAGAAGGCUAUGUUGGCCGGGCGACGGUUGUCCCGGUUUAAGCGUGUAGGCUGGUUUUCCAGGCAAAUCCGGAAAAUCAAGGCUGAGGCGUGAUGACGAGGCACUACGGUGCUGAAGCAACAAAUGCCCUGCUUCCAGGAAAAGCCUCUAAGCAUCAGGUAACAUCAAAUCGUACCCCAAACCGACACAGGUGGUCAGGUAGAGAAUACCAAGGCGCUUGAGAGAACUCGGGUGAAGGAACUAGGCAAAAUGGUGCCGUAACUUCGGGAGAAGGCACGCUGAUAUGUAGGUGAAGCGACUUGCUCGUGGAGCUGAAAUCAGUCGAAGAUACCAGCUGGCUGCAACUGUUUAUUAAAAACACAGCACUGUGCAAACACGAAAGUGGACGUAUACGGUGUGACGCCUGCCCGGUGCCGGAAGGUUAAUUGAUGGGGUUAGCGGUAACGCGAAGCUCUUGAUCGAAGCCCCGGUAAACGGCGGCCGUAACUAUAACGGUCCUAAGGUAGCGAAAUUCCUUGUCGGGUAAGUUCCGACCUGCACGAAUGGCGUAAUGAUGGCCAGGCUGUCUCCACCCGAGACUCAGUGAAAUUGAACUCGCUGUGAAGAUGCAGUGUACCCGCGGCAAGACGGAAAGACCCCGUGAACCUUUACUAUAGCUUGACACUGAACAUUGAGCCUUGAUGUGUAGGAUAGGUGGGAGGCUUUGAAGUGUGGACGCCAGUCUGCAUGGAGCCGACCUUGAAAUACCACCCUUUAAUGUUUGAUGUUCUAACGUUGGCCCCUUACCGGGGUUGCGGACAGUGUCUGGUGGGUAGUUUGACUGGGGCGGUCUCCUCCUAAAGAGUAACGGAGGAGCACGAAGGUUGGCUAAUCCUGGUCGGACAUCAGGAGGUUAGUGCAAUGGCAUAAGCCAGCUUGACUGCGAGCGUGACGGCGCGAGCAGGUGCGAAAGCAGGUCAUAGUGAUCCGGUGGUUCUGAAAUGGAAGGGCCAUCGCUCAACGGAUAAAAGGUACUCCGGGGAUAACAGGCUGAUACCGCCCAAGAGUUCAUAUCGACGGCGGUGUUUGGCACCUCGAUGUCGGCUCAUCACAUCCUGGGGCUGAAGUAGGUCCCAAGGGUAUGGCUGUUCGCCAUUUAAAGUGGUACGCGAGCUGGGUUUAGAACGUCGUGAGACAGUUCGGUCCCUAUCUGCCGUGGGCGCUGGAGAACUGAGGGGGGCUGCUCCUAGUACGAGAGGACCGGAGUGGACGCAUCACUGGUGUUCGGGUUGUCAUGCCAAUGGCACUGCCCGGUAGCUAAAUGCGGAAGAGAUAAGUGCUGAAAGCAUCUAAGCACGAAACUUGCCCCGAGAUGAGUUCUCCCUGACUCUUUAAGGGUCCUGAAGGAACGUUGAAGACGACGACGUUGAUAGGCCGGGUGUGUAAGCGCAGCGAUGCGUUGAGCUAACCGGUACUAAUGAACCGUGAGGCUUAACCUUACAACGCCGAAGGUGUUU
rnacentral:rRNA from 1 species